rnacentral:lncRNA from 1 species
UUUAUGAUUUAUCCCACGUGGCCCAUUCCCACUGCCAUGACUAAUCUCCUUAUAUUCAUUUUUCAAACCUAUGGGAUACCAGAAAGAAGCCUAACCAUACUACCCUCUCUCCAGCUUCUCAGUCUCAGAGUUUGCCAUCUAUACAUUUGAUACUAUCCAGUGUCCUACCAAUGAUUCUGAUUCUAGAGCUCAGGGACUUGGAAAAGAAGACUCCUUCCUGUCAGCAUCUCCACAUACUUGCAGGGUUCACCUAGGGCAGGAAGCUCAAGGUCCUGUGCACAUAGCCAUUGCUGGGUUCUCACCUGCAGCCUGAGGUGAAGGUCAUAGAUUUCUCAGGAGGGAAAAGUGGCCUACGUAUCUUUCUUUUAUUUUUUCAAGUGAGCACUUAUUCAUAAACUCAUUAAAACUUUUUUCUUAAUAAGCAUUUCCUAAGCUCCUAAAACAAAGUCCAGAUGUCCCAGGCCUGAGUAGUAACUUUCAGACAGGUACUAAACAGACAGGGAUGCUAAACCCUAGAAAGGUGCCCCUUAGAGAGGGGUUGGGGGAGGGCAAAAUGAAAAUAUAAAAGGUACCUAAGGAUCCCAUUACCGCUAACAAAGCUUCCCCACCCACAGGAAUCCAGCACACUUUCUAAUGGCUGGGAACACUGCUUAAGAAAUGGUUCCCACUUCCUCUCAGCGCACGGUCACUAGUUUCCACCCACCGAGGUGCCUGCAUCUCCAUAUCUGGUUUUCUGGAGCUCUGAUGAAUCCACAGAGGGCUACACUAGACCCAAAAGGGGUUGUUUAGCAGCACAUUCCCUUUGGCACAUCGCUGCACACACCCACACCUCAGUCCCUUGCCUUCUUUGGCUGCUUCUUGACCUUCUGCUGAUCUUAAUGGCAUUGGAGCUUUACAAAAACAGUGCUGUCUUCCCACAGCAAAGAAGUGUUCUCAAUUCUCCAUCUACCAUGAUCACAGCAGAGAAAGCAGAUGAGAGGGUAGACAAAUGUGUGUCUCUGGUUCAGGCUCCUACCUAGCUCUCCUUACAACCACUACUUGGGUUCCUCAAUGGCCCCCUGAUCUCAGGUAGCCUUGACACAUGUCCCUGUUCAGCCCUGCUGGAAAGCGGGCCCUGAUUCCACAGAGCACCAACAAAGAACCCUUGCUUGCUUCUGUAGUAUUCUUACCCCGAUGUCGUCCACUCAUUAAUUGUGAGAAAACAUUGCACAAGCAAAAGACAGCCAACAAAACACUCGGUGAGCACCGUCCAGAUGUCCCAACAUCAUGAAAGAUAGAGAAAGGUGUCACAGAGCUAAGAAGACCUAAUAUAGACAUGGCAGCAAAAUGCACACUGGUGAGAUUAAAGCCUUUGGAGUGGCCCACAGCCUCUUUCUUGCUGGUGUGCAUUUCUGUGAAGUCGUGUGAGACAUUCACAAGGUGAAGUUGGGUAGACAGGUGCUUCCCGAAUAAUCUUUGUGACACUGCUGUAAUUCUCCAACCUUUCCAAAAUAAAGGGAUUUAAAAGAAGCUGCCACACAAAGCAGCUAUUGCCCCCUCACUCUUUGUCAUCUUUUGUCGACUGCUUUCAGGCCUUGGGCAGAACAAAAGAGAGAACAAUGCUCUUUGCUGGUUGGGCACACCAAUGAUCAAAGAGAUAAGAUUCUUAAUGACAAGGGCCACAGCCUGCUACCAGACAGGCCAUUAGGGUAGGUGGCUUGCAUUGGCCCUAGGCCCACACUCCCUCUCUCCCCUCCUCCUUCCCUCCCUUCCUCCUUUCCUCCCAGUGGCCAUUCAGAUGACCUGGGUGAGAACAGAGCUUCUCAGGAAGCCUGAAGUUCUGAGUCCAGAGCUUAGGAAGGCUCUGAGGAAGCCUCUGUGCCUUAAUGUCCCCAAAGUCAGCAGGCUCAUACCCAGCUCAAAGCCAGCAAGUCCACUCUCAGAUUAGUGGGUUCUAGAUUCUUCUUCAGGGAGAAAAGAGAGUGGAGUUGAAACACCCUUAAUACCCUAAUUCUCUCAAAAGAUGAUUCAGACUUUUGUAGCUUCAUUAGCAUUUGCAGAUAAAAAUACAUUUUAAGUGGCAUUAUGCUAAGUAAUUAUUCUUACAAGAUGUGGAAUUAAAUACAUUUCCCUCAGCAUGAAAUUAUUCCUGCCACGUACUGAGUUGGGUGACAGCUUAAAAAGAAUUUGGACAGGGGGUUGCCACGAAAGGAAGAAGCAAUCUAUAUUCUUGAGGCGGUGGGGGGAAACCAACCCAAAAUAUCCACCAAAGGUAAAGUCCUUGUAGCAAAAUCAUUUUGGCUAGAUGGAAUAUUAAACCUGCUACUAUAAAUUUCACGCUUUGCAUUCCUAAAGCAGACGCAGAGAAAUGAUGCCAAAAAUUAAUCAGAAAUAAUGCCCGCCUUGCACGCUUUUUCCAGUAGGGGGCAGAACAGAUAAGACUGUGUGCGCUGGAGACCUCCCUAGACUGAUAAUCAGGCUUGUUUGUAAUUGCCUCUGUAAAGAUAUGUAGCCGCAUGCUUGAAUGCUUAUUUACAUUUUGGGAUGUGGUUGGGAAUAGAGGCUUUCGAUUUAGAACUUUGUUUCUGUCUCUAAGUACAUGGGAGACUUUCAGCUGUCGCGAACCUUGUAUUUACCAAUGCAUGGUGUUCAAUUGCUGGAUUUAAUUGUUACAGUACAGUGAAUUAUUCUAUUAUUUCUAACUAUUUUUUAUCUGGAAAAUUCAAACUUUCCAGGCUUUAGGGCAGGAUAAAAUGGCUCUGAGCAUGUCAGCGUCUCAAGAGUACAUUAUUUUCUUAUUGGAUUGCAUUAACUUUACAGAUGAAAAUUUGAAGGAGAAUUAGAAGGCUUAGAGAUGGAAAAUUCGGAGAAGAAAAGAAUUAUGUCUUCAGAUUUCUGGAGGGGCUAGCUGGUGACUACGAGUCCAGAGAACAUUCACCACGACAUUCAUUAGAAGGGAGGAGUGAAAGGUGUCCACCAGAGCAUCUUCUGAUUCUCCUCAGAGCUCUGUGUGUGAGUUAUAUAAGUCCUCAGGAGCCUGCAGGCCUGGAGCAAAGUCAUGCUACAGGAAGAGAACUGCUGACAAUAGCAUCCUGGUACCCCAGGGACCUGAGAGAGACUGCCCAAGACACACUGCUCCAAGGCUGGUGGAAGCUGGAAGUGAACAAGAAAGGUAACGACUGUGAUAGGACAAGAGGAACCACAGACUGCAAGGGGGACAGGAAGUGCACAGAGCCACCACAAGAAAUCCACCUGGCUUUCUCUUGACUUGGGAAAAUGAUGUUCCAGGGUUCAGUAUGUCAUCAGCAACCUUCAGGACCCUGUAUGAGACAGCAGAGUUCCUGAUGUUAUUUCUUUUAAAACUGCUGUUUGCACAAGUAACAUCUAAAUGACAGGGAAUAACAGAAUAUUGAUUGUGCUCUGUGAGAGGAGACGAACCCCACCACGCGCUGGGGAGGCGUGAGGGAGCCAUGGAGCACAGCUACCACGCUAAGAGACCUACCAAGAGGAACGCCAGAGUGAGCAAACUCAUUAAAAAAUUUCCAAGUGGAGCUUGCUCAUUCAGUUGAUUUCAAGUGCCUUGCUGGACUUGAAAGAUGACCUUAGAAGAAUUCAGCGGGCAUCUGUGUGAAGCACAGAAGCUUCAUAAGAAAGAGGGCAGACCUAUUGUGUAAUGUCUAGUCAGAGAGGAGAGUCCAAGUCACAAGUUGUCUACCUGGAGCCAUCCUCAGUAUCACAGGGUGCAAUCAAAUAUCCUUCAAAGACAAAAAGGAAAGACUGCUGUCCUCAACUGUAGUCAGCCAAUGACAGUCCUCAGUCCAAGAGAAAUCCAAGUCAUGGACGGAAGAUAUAUCAGGAUUGCCUAGCCUCAUCAUUUCAACAAAUAGCCUCCAAAAGGAUGGAGCCAGAGGGUGAUAGGGACCUAGGCGUGAUUUGGUUUUGCAGGACAGUGGCAAUGAAGAACAAAAAGUAAUGUCUCUGCUCACAAAACAAAAAGCUCAUAUAGGCAGUGGUAUGCACCUUAAUCCCAGAACUCAAGAGGCAGAGACACACAGAGAACUUUGUGAGUUCAAGGGCAGUCUGGUCUACCUAGUGACUUCUAAGACAACCAAAGGAUACAUAGAAAGACACUGUCUCAAAUAACCUAACGAACAAAAACAACAACAACAAAAAAAACAGACAAAAAACAAAAACCAAAA